UCCUAAUCGAGCUGAACACUAGUCACUGGGUUCCACGGUUCUCUUCCGUGACCCACGGCUUCUAAUAGAGCUAUAACACUCACCGCAUGGCCCAAGAUUCCAUUCGUUGGAAUCUGUGAGGCCAAGAACCCCAGGUCAGAGAAUACGAGGCUUGCCACCAUCUUGGAAGCAGCUCGCCACCAUCUUGGGAGCUCUGUGAGCAAGGACCCCGGUAACAUUUUGGUGACCACGAAGGGACAUCCAAAGUGCCAUGUGAAGAAGGAUGUGUUUGCUUCCCCUUUCGCCAUGAUUUUAAGUUUCCUGAGGCCUCCCCAGCCAUGCAGAACUG
rnacentral:lncRNA from 1 species